rnacentral:misc_RNA from 1 species
CAAAAACUCACAAGCUUCUUCUUGCCUGUCAUGGGUCUAAGUCGAGCAGUUUGUGGAUUUGAGUGUUGUUUGUUCUGGUCUCUUUUGGCCGGCUCAAUCGCUCUGAAACAAUUGUGCGUAGGGCAAGAUACGGCUUGGGUCGUGCUUUUAGCACGCUCCAAGUCGUGCAUUGGUCAAACUCUCAGUGCAACAAAUUUUUGAUACACUUUGAGGUUCCCUGUCUUACGCAUCUCAAUCCAACACGGUGCUGCUCACAAUUUUUGAGAGUAGUUCCGAUA